rnacentral:tRNA from 1 species
AUUCAUAUAGUUUAUUAAAACAUUACAUUUUCAUUGUAAAAUUGGAAAAAUUUCCUAUGAAUU